rnacentral:rRNA from 1 species
GAACGCUAGCGGCAGGCUUAACACAUGCAAGUCGAGGGGCAGCGUGGAGCAGCAAUGCUCUGACGGCGACCGGCGGAAGGGUGCGUAACACGUGAGCGACUUGCCCGUCACAGGGGGAUAACCGGCGGAAACGGCGACUAAUACCCCAUACGAUGCGAUGCUGCAUGGCAUUGCAUUGAAAGAUUCAUCGGUGGCGGAUAGGCUCGCGGGACAUUAGCUAGACGGCGGGGCAACGGCCCACCGUGGCGACGAUGUCUAGGGGUUCUGAGAGGAAGGCCCCCCACACUGGGACUGAGACACGGCCCAGACUCCUACGGGAGGCAGCAGUGAGGAAUAUUGGUCAAUGGGCGGAAGCCUGAACCAGCCAUGCCGCGUGAAGGACUAAGGCCCUACGGGUCGUAAACUUCUUUAGACGCAGAGCAAUAAGGUCCACGUGUGGACCGAUGAGAGUAUGCGUAGAAUAAGCAUCGGCUAACUCCGUG